AUUGAACGCUGGCGGCAGGCCUAACACAUGCAAGUCGAACGAGUGGCGGACGGGUGAGUAAUGUCUGGUAAACUGCCUGAUGGAGGGGGAUAACUACUGGAAACGGUAGCUAAAACCGCAUACUCUUGUAUUUGCCCAUGUGGGAUUAGCUAGUGGGGGGGGAAAAGGCUCACAUAGGCGACGAUCCCUAGCUGGUCCGAGAGGAUGACCGGCAACACUGGAACUGAGAAACGGUCCAGACUCCUACGGGAGGCAGAAGUGGGGAAUAUUGCACAAGGGGGGAAAGCCUGAUGCAGCAAGGCCGCGUGUAUGAAGAGGGCCUUCGGGUUGUAAAGUACUUUCAGCGGGGAGGCGUUACCCGAAGAGGAAGCAACGGCUAACUCCGUGCCAGCAGCCGCGGUAAUAC
rnacentral:rRNA from 1 species